rnacentral:rRNA from 1 species
ACUCGAGUGGCGAACGGGUGAGUAACACGUGGGUGAUCUGCCCUGCACUUCGGGAUAAGCUUGGGAAACUGGGUCUAAUACCGGAUGGGAGCCAUCUUUAGUGUGGUGGUUGGAAAGUUUUUCGGUGUAGGAUGAGCUCGCGGCCUAUCAGCUUGUUGGUGGGGUAAUGGCCUACCAAGGCGGCGACGGGUAGCCGGCCUGAGAGGGUGUACGGCCACAUUGGGACUGAGAUACGGCCCAG